rnacentral:rRNA from 1 species
CCUACGGGGGCUGCAGUGGGGAAUAUUUCGCAAUGGGCGAAAGCCUGACGCAGCGACGCCGCGUGAGGGAUGAAGGUCCUCGGAUCGUAAACCUCUGUCAGCAGGGAAGAACGGUCACUGUGCUAAUCAGCAGUGAAUUGACGGUACCUGCAAAGGAAGCACCGGCUAAAUACGUGCCAGCAGCCGCGGUAAUACGUAUGGUGCAUGCGUUAUCCGGAUUUACUGGGUGUAAAGGGAGCGCAGGCGGCGCGUUAAGCCUGGUGUGAAAGCCCGCGGCCCAACCGCGAGACUGCAUUGGUAACUGGCGCGCUGGAGUGCCGGAGGGGUAGGCGGAAUUCGUAGUGUAGCGGUGAAAUGCGUAGAUAUUAGGAGGAACACCAGUGGCGAAGGCGGCCUACUGGACGGUGACUGACGCUGAGGCUCGAAAGCGUGGGGAGCAAACAGGAUUAGAUACCCCAGUAGUC